AGUGAACGCUGGCGGUAGGCCUAACACAUGCAAGUCGAACGGCAGCACAGUAAGAGCUUGCUCGUACGGGUGGCGAGUGGCGGACGGGUGAGGAAUACAUCGGAAUCUACUUUUUCGUGGGGGAUAACGUAGGGAAACUUACGCUAAUACCUCAUACGACCUACGGGUGAAAGCAGGGGAUCUUCGGACCUUGCGCGAUUGAAUGAGCCGAUGUCGGAUUAGCUAGUUGGCGGGGUAAAGGCCCACCAAGGCGACGAUCCGUAGCUGGUCUGAGAGGAUGAUCAGCCACACUGGAACUGAGACACGGUCCAGACUCCUACGGGAGGCAGCAGUGGGGAAUAUUGGACAAUGGGCGCAAGCCUGAUACAGCCAUACCGCGUGGGUGAAGAAGGCCUUCGGGUUGUAAAGCCCUUUUGUUGGGAAAGAAAAGCAGCAGGUUAAUACCCCGCUGUUCUGACGGUACCCAAAGAAUAAGCACCGGCUAACUUCGUG
rnacentral:rRNA from 1 species